rnacentral:ncRNA from 1 species
CCGCGUUCUCAGGGCGGGGCGAAACUCCCCACCGGCGGUAUGCGGCGGAAGUCGCGAGCCCGCGAGCGCCUUCGAUAUGAAGGGUCAGCAGAUCAGGUGCGAUGCCUGAGCCGACGGUUACAGUCCGGAUGGAAGAGAACGGGC